GACGAACGCUGGCGGCGUGCUUAACACAUGCAAGUCGAACGGAAAGGCCCUGCUUUUGUGGGGUGCUCGAGUGGCGAACGGGUGAGUAACACGUGAGUAACCUGCCCUUGACUUUGGGAUAACUUCAGGAAACUGGGGCUAAUACCGGAUAGGAGCUCCUGCUGCAUGGUGGGGGUUGGAAAGUUUCGGCGGUUGGGGAUGGACUCGCGGCUUAUCAGCUUGUUGGUGGGGUAGUGGCUUACCAAGGCUUUGACGGGUAGCCGGCCUGAGAGGGUGACCGGCCACAUUGGGACGGGGAUACGGCCCAGACUCCUACGGGAGGCAGCAGUGGGGAAUAUUGCACAAUGGGCGGAAGCCUGAUGCAGCAACGCCGCGUGCGGGAUGACGGCCUUCGGGUUGUAAACCGCUUUCGCCUGUGACGAAGCGUGAGUGACGGUAAUGGGUAAAGAAGCACCGGCUAACUACGU
rnacentral:rRNA from 1 species